rnacentral:rRNA from 1 species
UACGUAGGGUGCAAGCGUUAAUCGGAAUUACUGGGCGUAAAGCGUGCGCAGGCGGUGAUGUAAGACAGUUGUGAAAUCCCCGGGCUCAACCUGGGAACUGCACUUGUGACUGCAAGGCUGGAGUACGGCAGAGGGGGAUGGAAUUCCGCGUGUAGCAGUGAAAUGCGUAGAUAUGCGGAGGAACACCGAUGGCGAAGGCAAUCCCCUGGGCCUGUACUGACGCUCCAUGCACGAAAGCGUGGGGAGCAAACAGGA